UACAGAGGUGGCAAGCGUUGCUCGGCAUCACUGGGCUUAAAGGGCGCGUAGGCGGUGCGGUGCGGUUUCGGUGAAAUCCCUCGGCCCAACCGAGGAACAGCCGGGGCUACGGCCGCGCUAGACGGCAUCAGGGGACAGUGGAACUCCCGGUGGAGCGGUGAAAUGCGUAGAUAUCGGGAGGAACGCCGGUGGCGAAAGCGACUGUCUGGGGUGCCUGUGACGCUGAGGCGCGAAAGCCAGGGGAUCAAACGGG
rnacentral:rRNA from 1 species